rnacentral:rRNA from 1 species
UACGGGGGGGGCAAGCGUUGUUCGGAAUUACUGGGCGUAAAGGGCUCGUAGGUGGCCAACUAAGUCAGACGUGAAAUCCCCCGGCUUAACCUGGGAACUGCGUCUGAUACUGGAAGGCUUGAGGAUGGGAGAGGGAUGUAGAAUUCCAGGUGUAGCGGUGAAAUGCGUAGAUAUCUGGAGGAAUACCGGUGGCGAAGGCGGCAUCCUGGACCAUUACUGACGCUGAGGCGCGAAAGCUAGGGGAGCAAACGGGG